rnacentral:lncRNA from 1 species
AAGAAAGAGUUUAAUACUCGGCCAUCCACGGCCUCCAAGUUUGAGUGGACGAAACACACUCCAAGUGACUUGAAGAGGCCACUGUCCUCAGAUUUGAAGUGUAAUACGAAAACCAAAAGAAGUGUGCGAAGGCCAAAAUCGACGGUAACAACGUUAACUUCAUCACACGUGGCAGAAAAGUACAGCCAGCUUUUGGACAAAAGGGACUUGUUAUUAGACAAGCAGUUGGAAG